GUCUGGGACAAGGGCCUCUGGCCAGCUAUGGCUCCUACUUAAGGCUUCUCUCCAGGGAGCUCUGUUUUCCCUGGGGUCUGUUGCAUCUACCCUACCCCUCCACCUCCAUCCAAACUUGGCAGUCAUCACUGACCUUGGGUAAGGUCUCUUUGGCUAGACACCAGAUGGCAGGUGAUAAGUCUGAAAAAGAAAUCGUGGAAUGCGGGGAGGGUAGAACAGAGAAAGGGUAAUCUACCCAGGUCUGGUGUAUCUAUAGUGUCUUUCCUUUGCACAGAGCUGUCAUUUCAUUCUUCUCCCAGAAUUCACCACUCAUUUAAUCAUCAGCUCCAUCACAACCUUUUUGGUGAGAAAUCUUAAAUCAAAAUCUUAAAUGUUUGAGGUAUUCUAUUAAAGCACAGUGCCUGACAUGAAGUAAGUGCUUAAUAAAUAUUAGCUCUUAAAUUAAUUACUUUGGAAGGUAUAAGGUGGUUUGUAGAAGAAAGUUCUGGGUCUGGCUUUUUGCUAUGCUGGUACUCAAAUGAGGCAAGGGUCCCCAGCCCCCUUGCUUUCUGAGAGAAUGAUGCAGUGCCCCAUUUAUGCUCGGGGAGACCCAAUGGUAACAGCUGCACCUACAACUCAAAUACCUAACCAGACUUCUUUUCUCUCCAUUCUUCAGAGGUUGGAAUUGCAGACAAGUACUGCCAUGCAGAAAUCAUGGGGGCAGUUAACUUAAAAAAAAAAAAAUGCAGAGUAAACUAUGCAUCCUACCCCACCUGUGACUCACUCUCAUGUCAUCUUAUUGCCCACAGAGGCAUACUAGAAACACUUCUAGCUUCUAAAUUUUUCUCACAACCAUCAGUAGGCUGGGCUCUAGAGCUGUUUUUCAGGCAAGAGAACAAUUAACUGGAUACAAACCAGAAUCCUUCUUAAAAAUGAUUGAUAGGUGGUUGGUGGAUGACACUGUGAUGAAAGUUAGGGGAAACUUGGAAGUUCUGAAUGUAUUCAUAUAUUCAUAUACAUCACUGAGGAUGACCAGGAAGAAAAUAACAAUGUCUCCAUGGCUUGAUCCAGUCAAGACAGCCUACCAGACCGAGUGAGAAUUUCUUAAGACUUUCUCAGAACUUAGUGCCAUCUCAUCUUAUGAAUGAUGGAAGCGUUCUGGCCGAGAUUUCGGUUCAGAGAGCAGGGUUCUCUCCGUGGGUAAUGUUUGUGUCACCCUGGCAUAAUCUCUACAGUACAUAACACCUAAAUAACAGAGAGAGGAGGGCAACACCCUGAGAUUUGAGGAAAAAAAGAGACAAGUAUAGAAUGACGUUUUGCUAGAAAUUUAGAAGGAAAGAGUAAGACAUCAUUUUCCAGGAUGGUACUGAAAACAGGGGAAAACGGAGUGUGCGAUCCUCAUGCUUGAACUGCAUCUCAAAGAAACCAUCCCCUCUUGGGGCUUCGAGUCUCCCUGUUGCUCACAGGGACGCUGUUCCCCGGUCACAGGAGCAGCCAGAACUGGCGCUGAGCUCUCGCCCUCACUGCACUUUCCAGAUGCCAGGAGGAAACAUCAUCCUUUGUAGGAUGGUGGGAGAGGUAAUUGUCAAAAGAACGUCCCCUCCCCCCAUCCCUCAAUGUUGGGGCUUCUUUCCCGCUCUUUUUGAAGAAGCGCGUUUAUGACUGAUCGCUCAACACCUUGUUGGUUCUGAUUGCAGAACACACACCUUAUAAAUAUACGAUAACCAUCCUGUAAUAGUGUGACAAUUUACUUCACAGUGCGUUUCGGGCUGCUAAUUGAUCGUUUCAGUCCAGGGACGAUUUGGAAUAAAUUAUAGCCAUCAAAAGGAUAUCACAGCUCAUUUUGGUGGAAGGAUUUCCACGUCGCCUCGCGUUAGUCAGAGAACCGAUUGCUCCCGGCGGGCAGAGAGGAGGGGAGGGAACCGGCCCGGGAAAGGAGUGGCGGGGUGGGGUGGGGGGAGCGGGACAGGGCGGGGCCUAAGGGCCCGAUGGGCGGGCCCUGCGGGGCGGGGCGGGGCGGGGCGAUGGGCGGGGCCGCCGGCGGCUGCAGGUCCGCUGCUGGACGGUAGAGGCCUCCCUUCCGAGGCGGCGGCGCGGAUGCUACCUGCUGGCGCUGGGCACCCGGGCGCGAGCCCUCGCGUCUUUCCCGGUGAAGUCCCUGCGCGGCGCGGCCCAGCCAGGCCCAGUGUUGUAUCUCCUUUCCCUUACCUGCUAUUUGCCUGCCCUCACUGAAGCGAGCGCCCUGGAUGAAGAUACUCCUAGUCUUUGGCAAAAUUUGGAAGCGUUUCCUCCAGCUCUCUGUCCAGAAGUUGCAACUGCCUGCUCAGGAAUCUAAUUCUUGUUUCCAGAAUUCAGAGAGAACCUCCUAUUUUGUGAAAGACUGAUGUUAGUUGCAGGAUACCUGAAUCUAAAUGAUGUCUAUGUCUUCAGCCUUUGAGCUCUCUAGAAAAUAGGUGUAGAGCUAUUGAGACCUGUUUUCUAUAAGUCAAGUAUUGAGAAUGAGAAGUUGAGGUGGAGGGGAUGUUCUCUCUAUACAUUGAGACCAGGACCAGUUAGCACAUUAAUCUUAAACUGGUUCUUUACUCUUUACAGCUAUGUAUUGUUACUGACCUUUUCGCCCUGGGGAUAAUGGGAGAAAAGCUGUCUUUUCUGUAUAUCUUACCCCUUAUCUCAUGUUCCAUAGAAGUUUUUGCUCUCUGCAAAUGCCUGCUUCUCUCACUGCAGCAGUAGUGUGUGGGUAUUAGUUUCAAAGUGGGAAAUGUUGUUUUCAGGCUGAUCCCAAGGAGAAAAUCUCUCUUAGCAUCUUAAAUCCAACCUGUGUUAAUUUCCUCAUCCCAGUGAGGUUUGGGAACAAAUGACAGGACAAUAGAAAAACAGCUUACCCCAAACCUAUGACCAAAGAAAAUGGGAAAUCCACUGUCAAAAGGUUUUCUUCUCAAGUUUCUCCUUAAUUUUAGAAACAGAGUCUUACAGGCUGUGUUGCAUGUAGACAGUCAUAGGCUAUAUAAAAGAUCUACAAAUUGAUCACACUUUGCCUGCUUUGAAAUCAGAUUUACUAUAGUAUUGUGAUUAAGAUUAAAAGGGAAGUUACACGUGUGGUUUCCACAUUGCAUGUGAUACACUGCAGAUCCUCCGUGAAUUUGCUUGCCACAAGGAAAUCCUGGCACGAAUAGUAUAUGAGGCAUAUUUUACACUCAGUUUAGAAAAUUGUACUUUCUGAUUUCUGGGAGUUUGAAACUCAUUUUGCAUUGAAUAUCUAGGUUUUCAUAAAAUGAAGUAAUAAACCUCACCAACUGAUUUUCUGUGGAAGAAAUAAA